rnacentral:lncRNA from 1 species
AUAACUCACAAACAGCUGCAUCAUCAAAGCCUACUCCAUCUUGGGUAACAGUCCACAAAAAAACAGAAAAACUUGAGAAACUGCAUACUGGCACCUCAACAGGUUGGAGAGUGUCCUUUCCAGGUGGCUCAGUAGGUUGGAGUCUCUUCUAGCUUCCCUCUGAGAUGGAAGACUGGGAUCCUAGGAAGCUGGUGCACAGAGCCCAUUUUCUCUUGAGCAUCAUGAGAAUGGUUAACCUGGAUCCCUAGCUUGAAGAUAACCAGAGUCGCCACAGCCUCUACCAGGACCUGGGUUCCAGCCUCUGGUUUGCCAUGAAGAAUCUGCGGGUAACAUCCCUGAGCUUUCCAAAACUGGCCUCUCCCUACAUGAGCUCUUAUGUUCUGCUGCAGCCCUCUAUGCACCUCUGAGGCCGUCCUCCUGUUCAUCACUGUCCGAAUGGUGCUGGUUCUUGUCUUUUCUGGCCUAAAUGUACCUCAAGGUUAGUGCAGAUUUCCUUCUGGCCUGUGUCAUAAUGGACAGGCCAUAAGGCACACUGUUUCCACUGAUGUCUCCUUAGUCAGCAUUAAGGCUCCCCUUGCAAACAAUAAACCCACUAAGUCUACAACAUUGUGGGCAAAUGAGACCUUUUACCAAUUUCAAAAACAAACAAACAACCAAACCAUCCACAGAUCUCUACGCAUAGCUCCUCCUCCUGCCUUGACUAACCUGUGUUCCCAGUGAAUAAAGACAGAUAAAGGUUUCACCACCACACUAUCAUUUAGUUUCUCGGCUAAAAGCAUAUUCACAGCCUCAUGUGCAUCUGGACUCUGUACUACUUGGCUAGGAUGUGGGUCCUGUAUAGCCAGGUCUCUACUAGUAUCAGUCACUCAUUCAUUUGAGGACCAUCCCUUUCCCAAGGACUGU